UUACAAUAAUCACAAAUAUAUCUUAAAUAAAUUUCAAUCAACUUCUAAUUUAAUCUUAAUUGAAACCCUAAUAGACUUCAAUCAAAUCUUAGACAAACUCUAGACCCUAAUUUAUAUCAUAAAUAAAAUCUUACACCAAUCCUAAAUCCUAAAAUAAAUCCUAGAUCAAAUCUUAGGCCAUAAAUCAAAUCCUAAUCCUAUUUAAUCUAACUCUACUUAAUCUAAUCCUACCAAAGUUUGGAACCUCAAUAUCUAUCAAUUCCACUGUUGAUCUUACUUAAAAAUUUAUACACCUUUUAACAACAAAGUUGGCAAUAAGCAUAUAAAAUUUGAAGAU
rnacentral:lncRNA from 1 species